AGGAGAGAAAAAGAGAAAGAGAGGGUGAAGGACUUUUAAGAGGAAAAGAGAGCUGGGAGAAAGGGGAGAACGGAAAAAACAUAAACAAAGGUUUGGAGGGUUGUUGAAAGAGAGAGCCGACAACACAGGAAGAAAAGAAAAGAAUAAGAAAAGGAAGAAGGAAAGGGAGACACCACGCAGAGAAGUCUAUAAGGAAAAGAGAAGGUAAUUUCCAGUUCUCCUGCAAUAUUCUUGCUUUGGUUCUUUGCUUGUAUUUUUGAGUUUCACUUUGGUUCUAUUAUCAUGAAAUAUGCUUGAUUUCAAUAUAUGAAUCUCUGUCUGAAAUUAAUUGAUGUUGGCUUAUUCUCUAUGUUUUAAUAUCUGUGUUUUGGGGUUGUUUGAUUGAGGUUUAGUGUGAUGUUUAAUUGAGGAUAGUUCUGGAUUGAGAUCUAGUUUUGUUGUGGGGAGUGAGAUGCAAAUUUCUGCUGGUGUUAAUCCUGUUUGACUUGUUUAUUCUGUUAGGCUUUCCACCUCUUUUACAAUAAUUGUUUACCCUGCUAUCCCUCAAAGUUUUUUCUAUAUAUUUUAUCCGAUUAAUUUGAGAUCUCAAUAGAUGAUGUUGCUGUUGGUUGCGUAUUGUGUUUGCUUGAUGAUAAAUUAGUGAAAUAUUGCCCAUGUUGGUUCUGGUUCAUGUCCGAUUGAUCGGAUGGAUACUCUGAUUGAUCGGUCAAGCUUUGUUGGAAUGUGAUUUUGGCAUUUAGGACUUUCCAGAUUUAAAUUGAAAAGUAUAUAUUUAUAUGAAAUUGGAAAAACGUGUUUAUAUGUAUAAAUCUUCUAAUGUGGAUUUGACUUAACUUGGAUUUUGAUUACAUUUGAGCAUUUAAUUUUGAUCAAUUCUCUUGUUGAUUUUUGGUUGCGGACCGCGCCGGACUUGAUUUCGUUUGGGGCCAAAGAGCUCAUUUGGGGCUUGAACCGGGUUUGAUCCCACUUGGGCCGAAGGGCAACUUAGGGGACUUGGGCUAAAAGACAUACAUGGAGGAAUUGGAUCGGAUUUGAGCAUUGGCCUUCAUGGGUUAUAUUUGUACAAAGAAAUGGAAUCUGGGUCUGAAGUCUGGUACAAUCAGUGGAGACACUGAUCACACUGCAGCUGAAGCCAGCAAAAGAGCACGAAAACGGGCAAUUGAUAUAAGUUAUCGCCAAAUAAAGAUGAAACGUUUGAGAGAACUUUCCAUUAUGUUACAAAAAAAUAAACUUGAGUAUGAGCAUCAAAAUAAGUUGCAGGAGUAGACAAAUCAACAGUUACGGUCACAAGUUCAAAUGAUGGAGGGCCACAUUGAGUUGCUGGGGCAGACAUGUCAACAGUUACAGUCAGAAGUCAAAAUGAUGGAUGUCAUAAUGGAGGAACAACCGUUGAUGAAGAUGGAACUUAGCAGAGAACUAGAGUAUGAGCAUAAAAUUGAGUUGCUGGAGCAGACAAAUAAACGGUUACAAUCACAAGUCACAAUGAUGGAGGAGCCACUGUCAUCCCUGCUUCUUCGAGGAAGAGCCACUGUCAUAUUGCAACGAUUUUAUUUUUUCAAUUUCUAAGUUGAAACGUUUGUAAAUUGAGUGACUGAGUUGAAUCUGAUCAACUUUUUGAGUGACCAAAAGUUACAAUACUCCACUCUCAUGUAGAUGCAAAAAAAAAUUACAAAAAAUACUUU